rnacentral:lncRNA from 1 species
GAUAUCACCGCUAAUUAAGUCCUGAUCCCCUGGCUCCACUUGAAACAAACCAAGGAGGGAUCAAGUUUUGCGAGCAGGUGCUAACUGGUUGCAAAAGAGGAGUCCAUCACUUCAGCAAAAGGUUUCACUGUACCUUGGGGAGGACACAGCUUUUCUGAGGAAAGUCAUUACUGGACAGAGCCAUAGGCUCUUAUUUUGUCUUAGGACACGGAGGAGCUUGUAAAAAACAAAAAAACACAAAAAACAAUCCUCCGCUGUGACAAACAACUGUUUUCCUUUCCUGUGUUUUCCCCUUGAUGGCUGAUUUACUUUCUCCUCAGAUGGACAAUGGAGUAAUUUACAGUCUUCACAGGAAUGUAGGCGAUUAGCCACGGAGCCCUUCUCUGUCUAGCAUCAGGCAUCAGACGCCCAACUAUACAGAGGCCAUUUGAAUGGAACUGCAGAAUAAUCUUCAGAAGAAAAAGCAAGCUCACAUGAGUGGCAGCAGCCCAUUGUGCUGAGUGUGGAAAUUGAGUAACAGAAAAAUUAACUUGCCAAGAUAACACAGCUAGUAAAUAGUAGAGCUGUGAUUUGAAGCCAGGCAGUGAACUUCAGAAAUCCUUUCUGUUGAUGUGGGGAGUGGAGGACUCCAGACCCUGCCCAUUUGGCCUUGCCUCGUCUCUUUUUACUCUAGAAAAUGCUGUGGCUCUAUCAAAUACAGCUCAAAAAGCUACUCAUCCAGUUCAACUCUCUCCUUUGAAAGAUGAAGAUAUUGAGACCCAGAGAGGUGGAUACCCUGAGGUGGAGAAGAGACUGAAUAUGCCCACUGCAUCCAAAGCAAGGCUGGAGCUGACUUGAGCUUACUUGGCUUCAUAAAGCUUGAACACCAUAGAUGCUUUUAUAUGUCUUUCCUGUUCGAUUACUCUGGAUAGAGUGUGCUACUCCUAACACAAAGCAAAACCAAACCAAAAAACAAACCUCUCUUUUUCAUUUCCUUAAAGAAAAAAGAAAUUUAAUUUGGAUUCAGAUAAUACCCUUAUAACUUCUAAGGCAGUCAAGCAAGGAGGGGAACAGAUAAUUAGGAGAUGAUGGGAGCCAGCACAAAGCCAAAUGGAAGAAAACAGGCACACAGUAAGGCGGCAAAAGCCACCACCUAAUCCAUUAACAGCCUGCACUAUAAUUACGCUUGGCUCUGGCAUUAAACUGGUGAAAGCACAAAGGAGACACUAUUAAAGUCUUAAUUCCCACAAAAGGAAGCUCAUCCUGUGUAACAGCAAGUACUGUGCACCAAAGCGGCACCUAAAUGAAUAUUAUGGCAAAUUCUAAUUUAGCACUUAGUAGGAGCAUUCCACAAAAUUGCAAAAAUAAAGAGGAAGAAAGCUGAACGUGGUAAUUCAUGCCUGUAGUCCCAGCUACUCAGGAGGCUGAGGCAGGAGGAUUGCCUGAGCCCAAGAGUUUGAGGCUAGCCUGGACAACAUAGCAAGACUUUCAUCUCUACACAAAAUUAUUAGCUGGAUGUGGUGGCAUGUACCUGUAGUACCAGCUGGUCGAGAGGCUGAGACAAGAAGAUUGCUUGAGCCCAGGAGUUCAAAGUCAGCCUGGGCAACAUAGCGAGACCCUGUUUCUCAAAAAUAAUUAGAAAAAUAAAUAAAGGAGAAGAAAAGACUAGGUGGUGUUUCUUUAAAGGCAGUUCUUGCUGUUGCUCUAUGGGUUCACUUUCUCCCCAACCCCCAACCUUCUCAACCUUUCUCCAACCUCUCCAGCCCUCCCCAGCCCUCCCCAGCCUGUGUCUCUGCCCUCCCCAACCCCUCAUCGUCAGAUGGUUUUAAGCAUGUGGCUUCCUGAAAGCUGUGGGUCAGGAGGUAGCAGCAGGCCAAGUCUUCCUCCUUCGGCAGAAGGAGGAGCAGUGUGAGGUGCAAGUGGGCAGAGGCAGAGACUGAAAGUUCUUGAGGAGAACAGGUGUGAGGCCACAGGAAGCUCCACCAGGCACCUGGCUGCACAGUGACUUUUGCAGUGACAGUGCUUCAGCCUCCUUCCACGGGACCGCAGGAUUCAAAAUGGCAUCACCUCCACUUCUGUCAAUACAUCCGCAAGAGGGCUAGCA